AACACUAAAAUAAUAUACAUGUUGAUAUAAUAGUUCUAUUUCACACAUUUUUUCAGUUAAUGAACACAGACAUUAUUUACAUCAAAGAUGGCCAUCCAGCAAUGUUGCCAUGGGAUUCCUCUAUGUUUUAUCGGAGAAAGAUAUGUACUGCAAUUUUUGUGCCAUAUUUUACAGUAUCUUGAAUAGUUUUAGAAACGAGAUUUUCAGCAUCACUGUGCAUGACGAUGCCUAAAUUCAUAGGCCUCUUCUCUUCAAUGAUGGCUUGUAAAUUUGUGUUACUAUGCCGAUAGGCAUUCCCAUUGUGGAAAAUGCUAAGCAAGUGCAUCUACAGCUUACAAUUGACAGUUAAGAUUAGAAAGAUGACCACUAAAAUAAUCUUAUAUGUAGGUUUUACAAAUUAAUUUUGUCCAUAAAUUUUGAAAGUGAAUGUGUCAGAUUUUUUCAAAUCACCGUAAGGGCAACAAGAAAAUAUCAUAAAUUGGGCCCAGGUCUCUGUAUUCAGCCCUCUUCAAAGCAUCAGUUUAAAUUUACUCAGCUUCAUUUCUUGCAAUAUCACUUUAACUGACAACAACAAGAUCUAAAGAAACCUUCUUAGUUCUAAAUGAAACCCUGAAAUCUAGGUUUUCUAUUAUUAAUUUAUAGUGUCAAUAAUACACUGAUCUAUUGCUGUCAUCUGAGCUUUACAGAGAACACUCUCUAGCUUAUCAACAGGCCAAGCAUGUCUAUUAAAUGAAGUUGUUCCAUAGUAGAAAAGCAUCUAGGUCUCCAUGGCAUUAUGUGCAGCCACCAAAUUAGAGGAUCUGAAGAUAGAUUAAAACAGAUCUUAGUUGCUGGCAAUAUCACAAGGUCGUUUUCCAAUCAAGUGGCCUUUGCCCAUGCACUUUUCUUCUUGUAUUGUAUUGAUUUUCACAAAUCUGGGAGGUUUUUACUCCUGAAUACCUCAUGGCUGCAACAUAGAAACCCUCAGUUUCUGUGGACCAUGAGUUUAGACUCUGAUUUUCUUGAAGCGACAUACGGAUGUGAAAUCCAGGGCCAUUUCAGCAUAUUGGCCUAAGUUUUGGAGAAAUCUGAUGCAAAGUACACCACUACAAUUGGCUUGUCUUCUGUUCUGCAAGGCACAAGAUACAGAGCUUUUGUAGUUCCUUGUCUGGUGAGAGCAGCAAUUGUGACCAAGGAACUGCAGAAAACACCAGGAUCCUCUUCUCUUCAUUAUUAUUACCUAUAUUUUUGGUAUUGGUAUAAUUAACCCCCGUCUUAUAUUCCUUUAAUUGACUGUACAGCCAUCUUUCAUAUUGUUCUAACUGGUUGUAUUCCAAAUUGAUAGGUUAUAUUGAAGUGAUUCACUGAUGAUGUUUAUGUGAAAAAGCUAAACAAAUUGAUUGCCCACAUCGAUGCUGGAGCCAUUAUAAGAUGAGCAAUGAGUAAACUCUGAAGGCCUUGAGAUUUCAGCUAUGUUGGCCGGUAAAAUGAACGCGUCUAUAAUCCCGGGAAAAGUAUGUGUGGUGCUGUGUUCCCAAUGGUGUAAUAAACAGGACAUUGUAGAGUAAGGUAAUCUUGUAUGUAGUAACUUCUUUUUCAAAUUUGUACAGUUGAUUUUUGAUGGGAAGAUUUAUAAACCCCUUAAAUUACAGAAUUUAUGAUAAUGUAUUUUUCAUAGAUUAAAAACAACGAAGGUCAAAAUUAAGGCAUUGUGCAUUUCUUUACGUAGAGUUUUUUGAGCAUGUGACUCAAAUUUGGCAGGAUAAAAAACGAUGCUAACCAUCAAGUCAUUGUUUCAACACAAACAUGUCUUUAUCAAUGGUUGUAUUUUGAAAAUUAAAAUCUGAAUUUUAUUUUAUUUUAUGGA